UUCAGAGGUGGCAAGCGUUGUUCGGAAUUACUGGGCGUAAAGGGCGCGUAGGCGGCCAUCUAAGUCAGACGUGAAAUCCCCCGGCUUAACCUGGGAACUGCGUCUGAUACUGGAAGGCUUGAGUAUGGGAGAGGGAUGUAGAAUUCCAGGUGUAGCGGUGAAAUGCGUAGAUAUCUGGAGGAAUACCGGUGGCGAAGGCGGCAUCCUGGACCAUUACUGACGCUGAGGCGCGAAAGCGUGGGGAGCAAACGGG
rnacentral:rRNA from 1 species